CAAAGGCUUGGUCCUGACUUUACCAUCAGCUUUGGCCCAAUUUAUACAUGCAAGUAUCCGCAUCCCUGUGAGAAUGCCCUCAAUCCCCCGUCCGGGGACGAGGAGCAGGCAUCAGGCACAUUACUUAUUAGCCCAAGACGCCUUGCUAUGCCACUCCCCCAAGGGAUUUCAGCAGUAACAGACAUUAAGCAAUGAGUGUAAACUCGACUUAGUUACGGCCAUGAGGGUCGGUAAAAUUCGUGCCAGCCACCGCGGUUAUACGAAAGACCCUAGUUGAUAGAUGUCGGCGUAAAGGGUGGUUAAGGGACAUAAAAAAUAAAGCUAAAGACCCUCUAGGCUGUCAUACGCUCUCCGAAGAAACGAAACCCUAAGACGAAAGUAGCUUUAAACAUACCCCUGACACCACGAAAGCUGAGAAACAAACUGGGAUUAGAUACCCCACUAUGCUCAGCCAUAAACCCAGAUGUACUCUUACAUAUACAUCCGCCCGGGCACUACGAGCACAGCUUAAAACCCAAAGGACUUGGCGGUGUCUCAGACCCACCUAGAGGAGCCUGUUCUAGAACCGAUAACCCUCGUUAAACCUCACCACUCCUUGUCUUCCCCGCCUAUAUACCGCCGUCGUCAGCUUACCCUGUGAAGGCUUAAUAGUAAGCAAAAUGGGCAUGCCCAAAAACGUCAGGUCGAGGUGUAGCGUACGGAGUGGGAAGAAAUGGGCUACAUUUUCUAUUUCAAAGAAUAUUACGGAUGGUAUCAUGAAACAGAUGCCUGAAGGUGGAUUUAGUAGUAAAAAGAAAACAGAGUGUACUUUUGAAUUAGGCUCUGAGACGCGCACACACCGCCCGUCACUCUCCCCUCGUACAUACCACAACCUAACAUAAUUAAUAACACAUACACCAACGUCGGGGAGGCAAGCGUAACAUGGUAAGUGUACCGGAAGGUGCACUUGGAAUAA
rnacentral:ncRNA from 1 species